rnacentral:lncRNA from 1 species
CCAUGAAGAAUAAUGCUUUGCAGAUGGUGUCUCUAUGCAUGGUUUGAAGAUAUGUUGCAUCCAUUAUAUAAUCUUCCCAGAUGACCAGAUCCAUCAACAGGUUGUUGGAGAGAGCAACAUUUGUACAAAACUUAACCUUCAAUUCAGAAAAGAAAAAAGAAGAGAGCUUGUACAUAGAAGUUGUUAAUUUUUUGUAAGGCUGUUUAGUGGUUGCAUGCUGUAACUGUAGCGUGAUUGCAAAAAGGAAAAUGAUUCUUUUCCUUUGGAGAUCAUAAAGAGAUGA